rnacentral:rRNA from 3 species
GUAACGGAGGAGCACGAAGGUUAGCUAAUCCUGGUCGGACAUCAGGAGGUUAGUGCAAUGGCAUAAGCUAGCUUGACUGCGAGCGUGACGGCGCGAGCAGGUGCGAAAGCAGGUCAUAGUGAUCCGGUGGUUCUGAAUGGAAGGGCCAUCGCUCAACGGAUAAAAGGUACUCCGGGGAUAACAGGCUGAUACCGCCCAAGAGUUCAUAUCGACGGCGGUGUUUGGCACCUCGAUGUCGGCUCAUCACAUCCUGGGGCUGAAGUAGGUCCCAAGGGUAUGGCUGUUCGCCAUUUAAAGUGGUACGCGAGCUGGGUUUAGAACGUCGUGAGACAGUUCGGUCCCUAUCUGCCGUGGGCGCUGGAGAAUUGAGGGGGGCUGCUCCUAGUACGAGAGGACCGGAGUGGACGCAUCACUGGUGUUCGGGUUGUCAUGCCAAUGGCACUGCCCGGUAGCUAAAUGCGGAAGAGAUAAGUGCUGAAAGCAUCUAAGCACGAAACUUGCCCCGAGAUGAGUUCUCCCUGAGACUUUAAGUCUCCUGAAGGAACGUUGAAGACGACGACGUUGAUAGGCCGGGUGUGUAAGCGCAGCGAUGCGUUGAGCUAACCGGUACUAAUGAACCGUGAGGCUUAACCUU